GUCAACGAUCAUACCAUGUUGAAAACACCAGUUCUCGUCCGAUCACUGAAGUUAAGCAACAUCGGGCGCGAUUAGUACUUAGAUGGGUGACCGCUUGGGAACGAAGAAGGACGAACGAUGACA
rnacentral:rRNA from 2 species